AGUCAAUAAUACAGUAGAAAAAUAAGUCUAUGUACAAUGUGAGCAAAUGAGGUGAGAUAAGGGAGGUAAAGGCAAAAAAAGUCCAUGGUGGCAAAGUAAAUACAAUAUAGCAAGUAAAACACUGGAAUGGUAGAUUUGUAGUAGAAGAAAGUGCAAAGUAGAAAUAGAGAUAAUGGGGUGCAAAGGAGCAAAAUAAAAUAAAUAACAGUAGGGGAAGAGGUAGUUGUUUGGGCUAAAUUAUAAAUGGGCUAUGUACAGGUGCAGUGAUCUGUGAGCUGCUCUUGACAGCUGGUGCUUAAAGCUAGUGAGGGAGAUAAGUGUUUCUAUUUUCAGAGAUUUUUGUAGUUCGUUCCAGUCAUUGGCAGCAGAGAACUGGAAAGAGAGACGGCCAAAGGAGGAAUUGGCUUUGGGGGUGACCAGAGCGAUAUACCUGCUGGAGCGCGUGCUACAGAAAAAAGCAAAAAGUGACCAGCUUCCAGACCAAAAUGCCAUUUAUUCAGUCAGAGAAUUCUAAGAGCCAGAGUCAGAGAGUCCUGUAGUAACAGGAGCGGUCGAGGACAGCGUACCCCUUACGAGACCCACAUGUACGAGAUUAAAAAGUGUUAUAAACCAAAUAAAAAUGUUUGCGUCUUGACAGCCCCACCGUGG
rnacentral:lncRNA from 1 species